AGCAGCCGCGGUAAUUCCAGCUCCAAUAGCGUAUAUUAAAGUUGCUGCAGUUAAAAAGCUCGUAGUUGAAUUUCGGGACCAAUAUGUCGGUCGUGCCUCGGUACGUACUGGCAUCGUUGGUUUCUCCCUUCUGAUGAACCAUGAUGUCAUUUAUUUGGUGUCGUGGGGAAUCAGGACUGUUACUUUGAAAAAAUUAGAGUGUUUAAAGCAGGCUCACGCUUGAAUACAUUAGCAUGGAAUAAUGAAAUAGGACGUUUGAUUCUAUUUUGUUGGUUUCUAGGAUCGACGUAAUGAUUAAUAGGGAUAGUUGGGGGCAUUAGUAUUCAAUUGUCAGAGGUGAAACUCUUGGAUUUAUUGAAGACUAACUACUGCGAAAGCAUUUGCCAAGGAUGUUUUCAUUAAUCAAGAACGAAAGUUAGGGGAUCGAAGACGAUCAGAUACCGUCGUAGUCUUAACCAUAAACUAUGCCGACUAGGGAUCGGAUGAUGUUAAUUUUUUAAUGACUCA
rnacentral:rRNA from 1 species